rnacentral:rRNA from 1 species
GCUGGAAUUGCUGUAAUGGCAGGUCAGCAUACUGCCGUGAAUACGUUCCCGGGCCUUGUACACACCGCCCGUCACACCAUGAGAGUUGGAAAUACCCGAAGCCUGUGAGCUAACAGUAAUGAGGCAGCAGUCGAAGGUAGAGCCAAUGAUUGGGGUGAAGUCGUAACAAGGUACC